rnacentral:tRNA from 1 species
UCGCGCAUGAUCCACGGAGGGUUGCGCUAUCUGGAGAAUGGCGAGUUCGACCUGGUUCGCGAAUCCCUGCGCGAGCGGGACGCGUUGCUCGAA